ensembl:misc_RNA Metazoa_SRP Metazoan signal recognition particle RNA
GGAGUUCUGGGCUGUAGUGCGGUAUGCUGAUCAGGUGUCCGCAUGAAGUUAAGCAUCAAUAGGGUGACCUCCCGGAAGCAGGGGACCACCAGGUUGCCUAAGGAGGGGUGAACUGGCCCAGGUCCGAAACAGAGCAGGUCAAAACUCCCAUGCUGAUCAGUAGUGGGAUUGCACCUGUGAAUAGCCACUGCACUUCAGCC